AACGAACGCUGGCGGCAGGCCUAACACAUGCAAGUCGAACGCUGUAGCAAUACAGAGUGGCAGUCGGGUGAGUAACACGUGGGAAUCUUCCUAUCGGUACGGAAUAGCUCAGGGAAACUUGGGGUAAUACCGCAUACGCCCUUCGGGGGAAAGAUUUAUCGCAGUUAGAUGAGCCCGCGUCUGAUUAGCUAGUUGGUGAGGUAAUGGCUCACCAAGGCGACGAUCAGUAGCUGGUCUGAGAGGAUGACCAGCCACACUGGGACUGAGACACGGCCCAGACUCCUACGGGAGGCAGCAGUGGGGAAUAUUGGACAAUGGGCGCAAGCCUGAUCCAGCCAUGCCGCGUGAGUGACGAAGGUCUUCGGAUUGUAAAGCUCUUUUGCCAGGGACGAUAAUGACGGUACCUGGAGAAUAAGCCCCGGCUAACUUCGUGCCAGCCGCCGCGGUAACAC
rnacentral:rRNA from 1 species